rnacentral:rRNA from 1 species
GACGAACGCUGGCGGCGUGCUUAACACAUGCAAGUCGAACGGAAAGGCCCUGCUUUUGUGGGGUGCUCGAGUGGCGAACGGGUGAGUAACACGUGAGUAACCUGCCCUUGACUUUGGGAUAACUUCAGGAAACUGGGGCUAAUACCGGAUAGGAGCUCCUGCUGCAUGGUGGGGGUUGGAAAGUUUCGGCGGUUGGGGAUGGACUCGCGGCUUAUCAGCUUGUUGGUGGGGUAGUGGCUUACCAAGGCUUUGACGGGUAGCCGGCCUGAGAGGGUGACCGGACACAUUGGGACUGAGAUACGGCCCAGACUCCUACGGGAGGCAGCAGUGGGGAAUAUUGCACAAUGGGCGGAAGCCUGAUGCAGCAACGCCGCGUGCGGGAUGACGGCCUUCGGGUUGUAAACCGCUUUCGCCUGUGACGAAGCGUGAGUGACGGUAAUGGGUAAAGAAGCACCGGCUAACUAAGUG